UUUAAAGAUGGUAUCAGAGAGUCACACAUGUAGUUUGUCCCGGAAGUUCGCCCAUCGGUUCUGCGGCAGACGAUGAUGACAUUUGGUUUACAAACUAGAAAUAUCAUGGUGUAAACCAAAGCGAUGUGAGGAGAUGGCAGGCAUGGAAGUAACGAGGGACUCGCCUGUACUACACGUUGUAGUUAUAGGAUUCCAUCACAAGAAAGGCUGCCAGGUUGAGUUUUCCUACCCACCACUGAUUGCGGGAAAUGAGGUUGAUAGUCAUGAGGUACCAGAAGUGUGGAAACACCUGCCAUCCCUGGCUAUACCUGAUGGCGCUCAUAACUUCACACAAGACACAAUAUUUUUCCACCUGCCGUCACGUGAUGGGAACUGCACUACUGUGUACGGAGUAGCUUGUUACAGACAGAUGGACGCCUGUGAUUUGGUAAAUAAGACAGCGGAUGUGACAAGAAGCACUGUACAGAAAAGUGUGUGUGUUCUCAGUCGUCUGCCUCUGUUUGGAUUGGUGAAGGCCAAGUUGGAACUAAUCACACAUGCCUACUUUGAGGAGCGAGACUUCACCAAGGUGGGCUUAUUGGAGGAGACGUAUCGUAACCUUACAAUGUCCGUCACCGAGGGGGUGAGAGACGGGUCACGAGUCUUCAUGGGUAUGUCAGUGAGGGAUGUUGUGUGCCAGUUUAGACACAAAAUUGUCCUGUUGUUCAAACUUAUCCUACUAGAACGCAGGGUUCUAUUCUGUGGACCCCCUGUGGAGAAACUCUGUAAUACACUACUUUCAAUAUUCUCCUUGUUCCCAGGAAUGAUAGAAUUCGGUUUAGAGGAAGCUACAUCUAUUGGCACCAGCAAGAAGUUAUCUCCUACGAUGAGGUCCACCCAAAUUGGCAGUGACGAGGAAGAAUUCUUGGAAAUUCGCUAUCAUAGUGAUAGUUCACAGCAAAGUUCCCCAAAACUUUCCCUGGACCCCGAAAUACAGCUCUCUAUAGACACACAGAUAUCCAAACUCAAUGUUGAAGAACCUAAUUCUCCGACAAUAACAAGGGGAUGUGAUGAAGAUUCUGGGACAAGCAAUCCACUCGCAGAAAAAAGCUACGUUUCAGAUUCCAAAACUUUACAUUCCAGUGUAUCUGAUGACGAAAGCAAUGUAACCAGUAGCAGUGUUUUAACUGGUGAGGAUAUAAGUGCAAUAACACAGUUAAAGUCGGACUCUAUAAAAAAUAGAAAUUCAAAUUGUGAUAAGGACAGUGAGACUCUCCCGGUGUCUAAUACUACAGAGGACUGUGAUAUCAAUGAAAAACCACGAGAAUUAAAUGAGCAAACAAAAAAGGAUCAGAGCAAUGAUCUGUCCAUUCCAAACAGCAAUUGUGAUACCAGCAGUGAACUGAAUAGCGAGACAAGUUUUAUACUUGGCAUGAAGUCGACUGAGAUUAAAGUACCCAACAGUAGAUCACGUGGAAGCUCUUUCCAUUCCUCAUCUCCAAGUCCAGUUACUUCCCCUGGGCAAGUGGUCUUGACCGAGAACACCAACCCACUGGCUAAUGUGAAUUUUAUCACACAUAUAGAGGCAGUCCAGACAGGCUACACAAUCCAGAACAGCGAUUCUGUCAUAGACAUGGAAGAGUACUCCGAAAUGCUAGAGAAAAUGAAUUCGGAAUCUACCCUGAAAAAGUCUUCAAACCCAGAGCUAUCCGUAAGCUUAGAAGGUGCAAAAGAAGGACUGCUCCAACACAAACUAAGUGACAGUGUUGAGGAGCUUGAUUCCCCAGAAAGUAUUCAGAAGAUUGAUAAAGAAGAUUGUUUUUCCUGGGAAGAGGAUCGGUUAUUUUUAUCCAUUGAGCAUGAAUUGGAGUCUAGUAACAAGGAAAGUAGUGGAGAAUACUCUGAUAAUGUAACAGACGCUGACCAGACGGGUUUAAAGGCUGGGAAAAAAACAGUAUCUAGGCAACAGAGCAAAGUUAGUGAGGACGGCAAGGCUGAUAUUGAUACCAGUGAUUUGAUUGAGGUAGAUCUAGUCUCAUCUGAAACCAGUAGUAAAAAAUCUGAUGGGGAUAAAUCUCAAGAUGACAUCAGUCUGCAGGAUACUGAUGGAAAAUUGUCUAGUCCAGGGAGUAAGGCCGCUGCCCUACGGAACAAGCUGAGCUCAGCAUUUGGUACAGUGCGGGGAAAGACGUCGCGGUUGAAACGUGGCGGUAGCAGUGGACAGAGUAGCAACAACAGCCCGGGAGAUGUACCAAUAUUAGAAAUGUCAAACUCCUACCUUGCCUCAAGACUACAACAGGAUGAUUGUGGCUUCCCGCUCGUCAUAUUCUCUAAGGGUAAUGUGUGUCACCCGUACCUGUCGCUACAAUACUACGACCUAAUGCAGGAUGUCAACAUACGAGCCUUCGUUAUUGGGGCCACUAAUAUGUUGUUUAAACAGAAGCGACAUCUCACCGACGUGGUCAUUGAUACAACGGAGGGUCAUGUGGAUAUCCAUGAUAAAGAACUACAGAAGGUCCUGAGCUUGACCACUGCUGACCUACGGUUUGCAGACAUUGUUGUGAAGGCUGUUAUUGAAGAUGACGAAGAGGGUGCCUACUUUGAUGGGACAGAGUGGGAGGGAGGCGACGAGUGGCUGAGAGCUCAGUUCCGGAUCUAUCUCCAGUCUCUACUAGUCAGCUGUAAACAGGACGAUGUAAAACAUCAAGAGGAUUUCGGUAUGUCUUUUGUUCAAGCAUUCAAAACAACACACAGCUACCGUGUAUGGACCAGCACAGAACAUGAGGGCAUGAAGAAUAUUGCCUUAGGGCAUCCGUACCAUGGUAACCUGGGCGUGUCGGACAUCAGAAUGAGGCUAUCACAUACAAUGCAGAGUACAGAGCGAGGCAAGAAGAUUAAUGCUGCAGUGUCUCAGACCGGCAAAUAUGUCAUGCAAACAGGCAAAGUUGUAGGUGGCGCCCUCACUCAAGCUCGAUCAGCCAUGUCCUCCUGGUUCAGCAGUAAGGGCAACAAGGAACAGACCUGAACACUGAUACUGGUACUGAUUAUGUCAGUAUCACCAUGGUAACAGUUUUAUUCUCCUGGUACUGAUUAUGUCAGUAUCACCAUGGGUACAGUUUUAUUCACCUGGUACUGAUUAUGUCAGUAUCACCAUGGGUACAGUUUUAUUCACCAGGUAGUAAUAAUGUCAAUGUCACCAUGGUAACAGUUUAAACUUUUGUCAAAGAAUUAACAAAGAGGGGCCGAAGAUUAUAGCCAUUGUUAUUUGUUUGUUGAGAUGAAUAUGUGGUUUAUGAACCUGCAGAAGAGUUGUUGUCCUAGAUUAAAUCAGGUUAUUAAGGUUAUUGUCACCGUUCUUGUCCAAAUAACCACAUAUUUACUAAAAUAUGUCUGGGUUAUUAUAUUAGAUAUAAAACUAUGAUGCUUUUGUUAAAGCUGACAGUGCAAGUUAAAGAAUAUUUUUUUUCUGGUUUUGAGAUCUUCCCCAGUGACAAUCUCUUCCAGCUGUCUUAUCUUAUUUUAUCAGAACAGUUGAAUACAAUGGAAAUGGAACUCAUCAAAGACACAAUUUAUCUUAGAAAAGUGGAAGUAAUAGUAAAACACGACCAGUUAAAAUAUCUAAUGCACAAUCCCUGCCCCAAACCCCACUAAAAAUUAUGGAUGACUUUGACUUUGUUAUUGGAGUUGAUGUUUGGUGAAGUGUUUGUUGUUGACCUUGUCGUUGAUUGAAGAUGUCCGUUGGUAAGAUGUCCUGUUGACCUUGUCGUUGAUUGAAGGUGUUCGUUGGUAAGAUGUCCUGUUGACCUUGUCGUUGAUUGAAGAUGUCCGUUGGUAAGAUGUCCUGUUGACCCUGUCGUUGAUUGAAGGUGUCCGUUGGUAAGAUGUCCUGUUGACCUUGUCGUUGAUUGAAGAUGUCCGUUGGUAAGAUGUUCCUUGUUAUUCAUGACAUUGUCGUUGAUAGAAGGUGUCCAUUGGUAAGAUGUCCUGUUGACCUUGUUGUUGAUUGAAGAUAUCCGUUGGUAAGAUGUUCCUUGUUAUUCAUGACAUUGACAUUGAUAGAAGGUGUCCAUUGGUAAGAUGUCCUGUUGACCUUGUUGUUGAUUGAAGGUGUCUGUUGGUAAGAUGUUCCCUGUUGACCUUGUCGUUGACUGAAGGUGUCCGUUAGAUGUUCGUUGUUGACCUUGUCGUUGAUUGAAGGGGUCUGUUAGAUGUUCGUUGUUGGAUUUGACACUGGUAGUAUUACAUAUGUGACUCUUCCUUAAAGUUUUGAAGAUUACAGUGACUUUAGUGAUGUUGUAAGACCUUGUUACUUUUUUUUCUUCUCGUGAUUAAUAUCAUAUUUCUACAAUUAAUCUGUGAUGUGUUCAUGUCAGUGGGAAGUCUGAAUAAAAAAUUGUUGUAAUUAUAAUUGUUAUGUAUCGUUAUAAGUAUUCUGGGGUUAAGAAAGUAUCCUUUGUUGAUAUAAAAACAUCAUUCUCAUUUCAUUUGAAACAGGUACGUUAUGGAGAAUUUUCAUAAAGAUUAUUAUUGUUCUCAUGUUGUAGUGUUUGAUUCCAAAGUGGAAACAUUUUUUUUUUGAAGAAUUGAAAUUUUGUGUCAGUGGUGUACGCGUGUAGUAUUGGUACUUUUCACUACAGCAAAUCUUACUCCUGUUAUUACUUUGUGGUCACUGCUGCCUGUUCAUUAUGUGUUCCUUCCUAUUUUAUUAUUUCCCCCUAUUCAAGAAUAUUUUCCAUUUGUUAAGUUUACUGAGAUGACGUUCAAGCGUAAUGUUUGAAUGUGUAAAAUCAACCAUGACUUCUGAAUUUGUUCCAGAGCUUUCCUUCAAUCACUGUUCUGUACUACAAUACAUUGCGAAUUAAUUAUAUUUUAUGAUCAACCAUGUGGCAUGUAUAAUGUCUCCUUUGUUACUUUAAGAUUGAAGUAGAGAUUUAUAAGUAAUGUAUUCCUGAAGGCAAAGGCAAAUAUUUUUUGGUACAACUUUGUUAUCUCCCCUUGUAAGACAUGAGAACUAUGUGCAAGCCGUCUAAACCAUGAUAGAUGCACAUCUUAUUUUCGUGCAUUUAUAAAAUUUAUAAAAUUUAUUAAUGUUUUCCCCAUCAGCUAAAGGCCAUACUAUGAUGUAGACAUACCUGAUGAAUCACGUAGGGAUUGAACAGCAUGUUUUUCAAUGAUCAUACUGGGUUGAAUGGAUACUCAAGUUACAGACAUAUUAGCCAUCUUUGAUACUCCAGAGAUUACAGUUACUUUCGCUCUCGGCUCCCCUGGUAUAUGUCAUAGCAAAGUAUAAGGCAUGCGGCUAGCUAUUUGAUUGAUCUUGGGUUAAAAAACUGACCAAUCACUAGGCUGAUACCUGUCCUUUGAAGAUUACUAAGGACCAACAUCCAACUUCAAAGCCUUUCAAAUUUUCUAUUAGGCAACUGUGAGAUUAUGUUCAAGCACAUCAAAUGAUUAAGCUAGGCUUCCUGUCUCAUUCACAAUGUAGCAAACACUGAGCCUUCAAUUUUGCUAUGACAAAUUCCAGGGUUUCAGAGAACAUAAAUACAUGUAGUAGCAUUCUAACUUUUAUAGUUAUUGUUGAUUUAAAUACAGAUAUUCCCUUAUGUUUUUGAAAUUGAAAUAUCUGUGUUGUCAGUGCAAACUAGAUUCCUGGAGCAGUCUUAACAUCACCAUAAUGUUCACUUCUGACCAUUGUCUCACUUAAUUUGCCGUGGGAUGGGAAGCUUUCAAAUGACGCUGAUCAAGUUGCAUUCAUAACCCUAUGAACUUGCAGUGAAUAUGUGAAUAUAGUUGUUUGAUUGUGAAUGCAAGGUUUUAUACCUAGGCUUAUCAAUCUCACAUUGACUUGUUCAGGUCAGCUGUGAUUUCACUUACAAAAACUGCAUUAACAGGUAAACAAACUGUUCAGUUUCUUCAUGUGUUAAUGAUAUCAUUGUCAUAUGUGACUGCUAGUUAAUACAAUAUUAAAGUCGGGUCCAAUUUUAUCUACAUGUGAUGAUAACACAUUUGCAUUUAAAUAAACUGUUACUAUCAAAUUCAACACUUGCUUUCGAUAUUGUAUUACGUAACUGUCACAUGACAAUGUCAUUUAAAAUCAUUACACACCAUCAUUGAUAGCCAUCUCGGUGGUGAUACUGUACUUGAUUGAUUGUUAUUUAACUAAAUAUCUUUGUAGUUUACACAGAUCUUUGUAAACAAAAUAAAUAACCUGUGAAAAUACGAAAAUUGACUAAAAAUUGGAUGCUGAACAAACAAAAAAAACAAUUCAAAGAUGUUAACUUAUUGCUUUAUUUAGGUUGGAUUAAAUAAAAGGUAGAUUUAUUGAUUAUAAUGAAUAUGUCACCCUGGUAAAGUACUAGCUGCUUCCUACCAACUCAGCUAGGGAGAUUUUUUUUAGUUCAUUCGGUAGAGCGUAAGACUAGUAAACUAGAGGUCCCAGGUUCAACUCCUGGCAGAGGCAUUGGUAAAAAAUAUUACCUCUGUUACACUGGAGCCCACAUAGGGACUCUGGUAAUAUUGACAAAUAUACUCAGCAAUACUUUCACAAGAACCACUAUUUCCCCUGGAAAACACAAGAAUCGCUAUUUCCCCUGGAAAACUUGUGACGACCACUUUCCUAGAUAACGGAUUAUAUCAAACUAGUGAAAUACCAAUUGCUUCCUAACGACAUGGUUAGGGAGAAUUUCUCUUUAGCUCAUUCGGUAGAGCUUAAGACUUAAGUAGACCAGAUGUCCGGGUUAAAAUACUGGCAGAGGCAUUGAACAUUUUUUUUACCUUUGUUACAAAUAUAUAAGUAAGUUAUGGCGGUGAUACUGCAUUUUAUUGAGUGUUAUCAAACUAAAUAUCUUUGUAGUUUGCACAGAUCUUCGCAAACAAAAUAAAUAACCUGUAAGAAUACAAAAAAUUACUGAAAAUUGGACGCUGGAGAUGUGAACUAUUAUAAUUGCUUUCUUAGUUUGGAUUAAAUAAAAGAUUAAUUAUUACCAACAACAAAUAAUGGCUAUAGAAUGUAUAAAUAACGUAUCUACCUGGGACUCCUAGAGUGUAUCUACUGCUCAGUGUAGUUAUUUAACAUGAGAUUUAAACCUCAUUGUAUAUAAUGGUUUAUACUACCUGUUACAGUUCUGUUACUGAGAUUAAGAUAUGUAUAAUAAUGUAUAUAUGAUUCAAGAGAAAAAAGAGAUAUAAUAUAUUUAAAAAGUGUUUAACUCAU
rnacentral:misc_RNA from 1 species